rnacentral:rRNA from 1 species
GAUGAACGCUAGCUACAGGCUUAACACAUGCAAGUCGAGCGGUUUGUGCUUUUGCACAUUCAGCGGCAGACGGGUGAGUAACACGUAUCUAACCUUCCCCUUACUUGGGCAUAGCCUCUGGAAACGGAGAUUAAUUUCCGAUGUGGUGUACAUUUCGCAUGUUUUGCGCACCAAAGAUUUAUCGGUAAGGGAUGGGGAUGCGCUCCAUUAGGUUGUAGGUAGGGUAAUGGCCUACCUAGCCUAUGAUGGAUAGGGGUUCUGAGAGGAAGGUCCCCCACAUUGGAACUGCGACACGGACCAGACUCCUACGGGAGGCAGCAGUGAGGAAUAUUGGUCAAUGGGCGGAAGCCUGAACCAGCCAUCCCGCGUGAAGGAAGACAGCCUUACGGGUUGUAAACUUCUUUUCUGUCAGAAGAAUAAGCUUGUCGAGACGAGUGAUGCCGGUAUGACAGGAAUAAGCAUCGGCUAACUCCGUG